GGGCGGUGUCUGCGAGGAGCCGCACGGCGCGACAAGAUGGCGGAUAAGGAGAAGAAGAAAAAGGAGAGCAUCUUGGACUUGUCCAAGUACAUCGACAAGACGAUCCGGGUGAAGUUCCAGGGAGGACGCGAAGUGGAAUCCUGAAGGGCUUCGACCCACUCCUCAACCUUGUGCUGGACGGCACCAUCGAGUACAUGCGAG